AUGGUGGUGAAAUCCCUCCAGACGCCCGGAGGAGGGAUCACCCUCGUCUGCAAGGCCUCCGGCUUCACCUUCAGCAGUUACCCCAUGUACUGGGUGCGACAGGCGCCCGGCAAGGGGCUGGAGUGGGUCGCGGGUAUUUGGAGCACUGGUAGUAACACAUACUACGCGUCGGCGGUGAAGGGCCGUGCCACCAUCUCGAGGGACAACGGGCAGAGCACAGUGCGGCUGCAGCUGAACAGCCUCAAGGCCGAAGACACCGCCACCUACUACUGCGCGA